UACGGAGGGUGCAAGCGUUGUCCGGAUUUAUUGGGUUUAAAGGGUGCGUAGGCGGCCCUCUAAGUCAGUGGUGAAAUACUGCAGCUUAACUGUAGCAUUGCCAUUGAUACUGGGGGGGCUUGAGUACAGAUGAGGUAGGCGGAAUUGAUGGUGUAGCGGUGAAAUGCAUAGAUACCAUCAAGAACACCGAUUGCGAAGGCAGC
rnacentral:rRNA from 1 species